UGCUGGUGUUUUAUCUGUGUGUGCUCCACCUCUUCCCAUUCCGAACAGAGAAGUGAAAGCACACAGACUUGAUGAUACUUGAGAGCUUGGCUCUCUGGGAAAGUAGAGUACGCCAGCAU
rnacentral:rRNA from 1 species